rnacentral:rRNA from 1 species
UGAUCAUGGCUCAGGAUGAACGCUGGCGGCGUGCCUAACACAUGCAAGUCGAGCGUGAUUAAGUGGAGUGGAGACUUCGGUCAAAGUGAAGCUUAUGAAAGCGGCGGACGGGUGAGUAACGCGUGGGCAACCUGCCCCAUACAAAGGGAUAGCCACUGGAAACGGCGAUUAAUACCUUAUAAGUCAGUAGCACUGCAUGGUGUAGCUGACAAAGAUUUAUCGGUAUGGGAUGGGCCCGCGUCUGAUUAGCUAGUUGGUGAGGUAACGGCUCACCAAGGCGACGAUCAGUAGCCGACCUGAGAGGGUGAUCGGCCACACUGGAACUGAGACACGGUCCAGACUCCUACGGGAGGCAGCAGUGGGGAAUAUUGCACAAUGGGCGCAAGCCUGAUGCAGCAACGCCGCGUGAGUGAAGAAGGCCUUCGGGUCGUAAAACUCUGUCCUAUGGGAAGAAAAAAAUGACGGUACCAUGGAGGAAGCCUCGCCU